CUGGAAUGAUGCAACUUAGCCAAAUCAGACUUUUGAUGUGCUCCAUUGGGUUGUUUAUAGUAGCUUGCCCAGCAGCUAUUGGACUGGAAACGGUUUUGUUACCUCUCCUCCUAUGCACUGUGCAUCCUACAGUUGACAUCCUUUUGUUGAAGUGCAACUCUCUGAUGAUAAAACAGAGAUCGGUUUCUAGCUGACCAGA